GAUGAACGCUGGCGGCGUGCCUAAUACAUGCAAGUCGAACGAAGUACAAGAAGCUUGCUUCUUGUAACUGAGUGGCGAACGGGUGAGUAAUACAUAAGCAACCUGCCUUAAUGCCUGGGAUAACAGUUGGAAACGAUUGCUAAUACCGGAUAAUUUCUUGAUAGACAUCUAUUAAGAAUAAAAGUUGGGACACAACACAUUGAGAUGGGCUUAUGGCGCAUUAGUUAGUUGGUGAGGUAACGGCUCACCAAGACGAUGAUGCGUAGCCGACCUGAGAGGGUGACCGGCCACACUGGGACUGAGACACGGCCCAG
rnacentral:rRNA from 1 species